GCCAGAUUUGUAUCAUUGGUAAAUAACUUGACCCGGUGUACAGCCACUUGGGCAUCAGUCAACUCCACUCUCACCACCUGUAGAGCCUCUUUGUCCCUCAGUAAGACAAAGCGAGCGGCCACCAACACCUGCAUCCUCCAGCGGUGUUUCAACCUCGAUCCACAGUCAAGCUCAGCGACACACCUCCAGCCGUGCAAUAAUCCCCCUGCCCCGCAGGCAAACUCCCCAACCUACCUCCAGCACCAUAACUGCGUCCCAAGCAUCCGAUGCUCAGCCGGUUGACCCAAAGCAGUCACUCAGCAGCACCAGAAUCCUCCUGCCCCAGAGGCAAACUCCCCAACCUACCUCCGGCACCAUCACUGCGUCCCAAUCUGCUCAGCCAGACCGAAAGUCACCCACCAGCGCAUCAAGUUCCGAAGCCCAGGGCACCCCGUCCACAACCAGGGAGCCUUAGUAUGGGGAAAGUUCGGGAAGCGACGCAGGCCAGCUGGCUCCUGAGAGAAUGGCCCGAACUGUGCGCCAACGCGCAUUGCCCUGCUUUGAGCAGCAUAUGUUUCAAAUGAGCCGGGAGGAACAUGAGCUCAAGAUGGAGCUUAUCAGGGCCCAAGCACGCCGUGAUGAGGAGCUGCAUGGUGAACGAAGGAAAGCUCUACGGGCAAAAAGGAAAGCCUAUGACACUAAAAUGAGCUAUUAUUGAGCUAAAUUGCAUCAGCAUGGCGAUUCACAACCACUGACCAGCAGCUCAAGUUCUGUGUGUGUGUGUGUGUGUGUGUGUGUGUGUGUGUGUGUGUGUGUGUGUGUUUUAUUUACUUGAUCGUGUAAUUUCUUAAUAAAUAUUUGCUUGCGUAAUGGCCAGUGUGCGGGAUUCCUUCCAAGUUCAUAAUUUACGACCUUUGGUCAUCUCCAACCAGG
ensembl:lncRNA